UUUAUACUCUCUCCGUCCCCUAUUAAGUGACUUUCUAUUACAUGUAUCUAGACGCUUUUAGACAUAGAUAUAUCCAUAUUUGAGCAAAUUUGAGUCACUUAAUAUGGGACGGAGAGAGUACAUG
rfam:Brachypodium distachyon strain Bd21 chromosome 1, whole genome shotgun sequence.